UGGGGGAUAGUUUAGCGGUAGAACUUCCGACUCUGACUCGGACAGCCUUGGUUCGAAUCCAGGUCCCCCAGCCA
rnacentral:tRNA from 4 species